UCCUUUGCUCCUAAAUUCUGCUAAACUUAUAUUAUUUUUAGUCAACAAAUCUUGUGCAAGUUAAAUAGUCUUUUCUUAUUUGUAUGCCAGUUAGGUAUUUUUGGUUUAUCUCUUUAUCAACUACCCCUUUUGAUUAGUCUCCUUCUAAUUCUUAAGAUUAUUAACUUGACUUUGCUAUUUCUUGAUUCAGGGUUUGAAGCUAGAACUCUGCACCACUGACAGAGUGGGACUACUAUCUAAUGUCACACGCAUCUUCAGAGAGAACAGCUUAACAGUUACAAGAGCAGAAGUAACCACCAAAGGAGACAAAGCUGUGAACACCUUCUAUGUUAGUGGUGCUUCUGGUUACCUUGUGGAUUCCAAGACCAUAGAAUCUAUUCGGCAAGCAAUUGGAAACACUAUACUUAAAGUAAAGGGUACCCCUGAUGAGUUGAAAUCUACCCACCAGGAUUCUCCUACCAGAUCUCUCUUUAGUGGCCUUUUCAAGUCCAGAUCUUUUGUGAACUUUGGCUUGGUUAAGUCUUAUUCUUGAACCUGGAGAAAGCAAUUAUAUGUGAGUGAUAAUGAGAUCUCCUAUCUUGUACAGUGAAAAUGCUCAAGAUGCAAAAAAGCUUACUAGGUGAAGUGUGACUUUAGUUUAGGGUGUAGAAAUACCAAGCAUAUCUUAGGCUUAAACUUAGGAUUAGUGUUUGGUUUGUAAAUUCUUAACCCCUCCCCUGCUUUAGCUUAGUUUGUGAUGGAUCAAAUCCAAUCGCUAGUUGGAGUCAUGAAAGCAAAGAGAACCUCAAUUGUGUAAACCUUGAAACAUACUUUCAAAGAUCAUCAUUUGAACAUAAUUUAAUUUAAUUUCCAGCAGCAGUUAUAUUUUGCUUAUCUUCCUUGUCUUUUACUUAUCUUGACAAUUCUGCUUGCUAAUUCUGGCAUUUGGCAUCGUCAACUCAUUCAUGAUUCUGUCGGAACAAUCAUGUUUAGCUCCUUUAAACUUGGACUUCAGUUUAGAGAAAAAUUAGAAUCAACACUUUUGUUUAAUUUGCAUAUCCCCCAUCAUUAGUGAGCAGAAUAUUCAAUUUUCUUAUUUGUUCUAAAUUUGCAUAUCCCCCAUCAAUAUCAAUGAAUUAUUUGUUUAACUAAUAGACUCUCUUGAGCAAUGAGAAAAAUGUAGAUGUUUCCAAUUAAAUCAAAUCGUCUUCCUUAUUGUUAUACCGAACAAAAAUAAAAUUAUUAUAGAUUCAGUCGGUAGUUCUUAAAAAUAAGAUUCAUCCGCUCCCGCUUUAUCAGACAAAUUUAUUUUUUGAGUUCUUAGAUUAAAAAAUUAUAUGUUGUUUCAUAUUUAUCAACUUUUCUAUAUAUAUAUAUAUAUAUAUGAAAAAUUGUGUAAAAAUUUUUAUCCGUUGUGGUAAAUUGCUUAAAUGUUAUGUUUUUUUUAUAGGUAAAAAGAAUUAUAUUGAAAUGAAGUACAAGGGGUACUUAAACCUAAUACAAAUAGAAAGAGAGAGAAAAAGAAAGCUAAUCGUAACAUCAUUUACAAUGACAAUGAUCCAACUACUACUAAAACUACCCCAUCUUAAAGGAAAAAAUACUUUAAAAGAGAUGCCUCAUUAAAACCUUAUUAGAAAACUUAUUCAACCUGAUAGUAUCUUUUUCUUUUUGUUAAUAGUUAGUCUAUUUUGAAGACAAGCCACAAUUUUGUUGGCUUGUCUAAAACUAAACCAUAUUUUAAGUGAACAACAACCCUUCUUUGUGUAUCUAAUUGUUUUAUAUCUCAUUAUUGUACUUUUUCUCUUCAAUUCUGCUAAACCAUAUUUUAGUUAACAGAGAGUAACCCUUUCUUUCUAUAGAUUGUAUUUUAUAUCAUUGGUUAGUGUCCUUUGCUCCUAAAUUCUGCUAAACUUAUAUUAUUUUUAGUCAACAAAUCUUGUGCAAGUUAAAUAGUCUUUUCUUAUUUGUAUGCCAGUUAGGUAUUUUUGGUUUAUCUCUUUAUCAACUACCCCUUUUGAUUAGUCUCCUUCUAAUUCUUAAGAUUAUUAACUUGACUUUGCUAUUUCUUGAUUCAGGGUUUGAAGCUAGAACUCUGCACCACUGACAGAGUGGGACUACUAUCUAAUGUCACACGCAUCUUCAGAGAGAACAGCUUAACAGUUACAAGAGCAGAAGUAACCACCAAAGGAGACAAAGCUGUGAACACCUUCUAUGUUAGUGGUGCUUCUGGUUACCUUGUGGAUUCCAAGACCAUAGAAUCUAUUCGGCAAGCAAUUGGAAACACUAUACUUAAAGUAAAGGGUACCCCUGAUGAGUUGAAAUCUACCCACCAGGAUUCUCCUACCAGAUCUCUCUUUAGUGGCCUUUUCAAGUCCAGAUCUUUUGUGAACUUUGGCUUGGUUAAGUCUUAUUCUUGAACCUGGAGAAAGCAAUUAUAUGUGAGUGAUAAUGAGAUCUCCUAUCUUGUACAGUGAAAAUGCUCAAGAUGCAAAAAAGCUUACUAGGUGAAGUGUGACUUUAGUUUAGGGUGUAGAAAUACCAAGCAUAUCUUAGGCUUAAACUUAGGA
rnacentral:lncRNA from 1 species